CAGCCGCCGCGGUAAUACGGAGGGUGCAAGCGUUAUCCGGAUUUAUUGGGUUUAAAGGGUCCGUAGGCGGACUUAUAAGUCAGUCGUGAAAGCCUGUCGCUUAACGAUAGAACUGCCAUUGAUACUGUAAGUCUUGAGUAUAUUUGAGGUAGCUGGAAUAAGUAGUGUAGCGGUGAAAUGCAUAGAUAUUACUUAGAACACCAAUUGCGAAGGCAGGUUACCAAGAUAUAACUGACGCUGAGGGACGAAAGCGUGGGUAGCGAACAGGAUUAGAUACCCCAGUAGUCCCUGUCUCUUAUAC
rnacentral:rRNA from 1 species